rnacentral:rRNA from 1 species
UACGUAGGGACCAAGCGUUGUUCGGAUUUACUGGGCGUAAAGGGCGCGUAGGUGGCCUGUGGAAGUCUGCGGUGAAAGCCCGGCGCUCAACGCCGGGUCGGCCGUGGAUACUCUCGGGCUCGAGCUUACUAGAGGCAGAUGGAAUUCCGGGUGUAGCGGUGGAAUGCGUAGAGAUCCGGAAGAACACCGGUGGCGAAGGCGGUCUGCUGGGGUAAUGCUGACACUGAUGCGCGACAGCGGUGGGGAGCAAACAGG